GACAGAGGGUGCAAACGUUGUUCGGAAUUACUGGGCGUAAAGCGCGUGUAGGCGGCUAUGUAAGUCGGGCGUGAAAUCCCACGGCUCAACCGUGGAAGUGCACCCGAAACUGCGUAGCUAGAGUCCUGGAGAGGAAGGUGGAAUGCUUGGUGUAGAGGUGAAAUUCGUAGAUAUCAAGCGGAACACCGGUGGCGAAGGCGGCCUUCUGGACAGUGACUGACGCUGAGACGGCGAAAGCGUGGGGAGCAACAGG
rnacentral:rRNA from 1 species